rnacentral:rRNA from 1 species
CAGUAGCCGCGGGAAUACGUAGGGUACAAGCGUUGUCCGGAAUUAUUGGGCGUAAAGAGCUCGUAGGUGGUUGGUCACGUCUGCUGUGGAAACGCAACGCUUAACGUUGCGCGUGCAGUGGGUACGGGCUGACUAGAGUGCAGUAGAGGAGUCUGGAAUUCCUGGUGUAGCGGUGAAAUGCGCAGAUAUCAGGAGGAACACCGGUGGCGAAGGCGGGACUCUGGGCUGUAACUGACACUGAGGAGCGAAAGCAUGGGGAGCGAACAGGAUUAGAUACCCCCGUAGUCCCUGUCUCUUAUAA